GAUGAAGAACGUAGCGUAAUGCGAUACUUGGUGUGAAUUGCAGAAUCCCGUGAACCAUCGAGUCUUUGAACGCAAGUUGCGCCCGAAGCCAUUAGGCCGAGGGCACGCCUGCCUGGGCGUCACACGUCGUUGCCCCCCCAUCUACUCCUUCGGGAUUGCGGGGGGCGGAUGAUGGCCUCCCGUGCGCCUCGCCGCGCGGUUGGCAUAAAUGCCAAGUCCUCGGCGACGCACGCCACGACAAUCGGUGGUUGCGAAACCUCGGUUGCCCGUCGUGUGCGGUCGUCGCGCAUCGAGGGCUCGAAAAAAUUGUCGGGCUCCGGCUCGGCUUUCAACGCGACCCCAGGUCAGGCGGGGUUACCCGCUGAAUUUAAGCAUAUCAAUAAGCGGAGGA
rnacentral:misc_RNA from 1 species